CACGGGGUUGCGAGCGUUGUCCGGAAUUACUAGGCGUAAAGGGCAGGCAGGCGGAUCCAUAAGUUUAUCGUUUAAGGCGUCGGCUUAACCGGCGUAGGGCGGUAGAUACUGUGGAUCUGGAAUGCGGUUGGGGAAAACAGAAUUCCUGGUGUAGCGGUGGAAUGCGCAGAGAUCAGGAGGAAUACCGAAGGCGAAGGCAGUCUUCCAAGCCGUUAUUGACGCUCAACUGCGAAGGUGUGGGUAUCAAACAGGAUUAGAUACCCUGGUAGUCCCUGAG
rnacentral:rRNA from 1 species